GAAAUGCGAUAAGUAAUGUGAAUUGCAGAAUUCAGUGAAUCAUCGAAUCUUUGAACGCACAUUGCGCCCGCCAGCACUCUGGCGGGCAUGCCUGUUCGAGCGUCAUUUCAACCCUCAGAACCCCUUGCGGGAUCUGGCGUUGGGGAUUGGCAUCCAGCCAGCCCCGAAAUCUAGUGGCGGUCCCUCCGCGACCUCCCCUGUGCAGUAGCGAUACCACGCAGCGGGACAGCGGUCUGACCACGCCGUAAAACCCCCAACUUCUCAAGGUUGACCUCGAAUCAGGUAUGAAUACCCGCUGAACUUAAGC
rnacentral:misc_RNA from 1 species